rnacentral:rRNA from 1 species
AGUGAACGCUGGCGGUAGACCUAACACAUGCAAGUCGAACGGCAGCACAGUAAGAGCUUGCUCUUACGGGUGGCGAGUGGCGGACGGGUGAGGAAUACAUCGGAAUCUACUUUUUCGUGGGGGAUAACGUAGGGAAACUUACGCUAAUACCGCAUACGACCUACGGGUGAAAGCAGGGGAUCUUCGGACCUUGCGCGAUUGAAUGAGCCGAUGUCGGAUUAGCUAGUUGGCGGGGUAAAGGCCCACCAAGGCGACGAUCCGUAACUGGUCUGAGAGGAUGAUCAGCCACACUGGAACUGAGACACGGUCCAGACUCCUACGGGAGGCAGCAGUGGGGAAUAUUGGACAAUGGGCGCAAGCCUGAUCCAGCCAUACCGCGUGGGUGAAGAAGGCCUUCGGGUUGUAAAGCCCUUUUGUUGGGAAAGAAAAGCAGCAGGUUAAUACCCCGCUGUUCUGACGGUACCCAAAGAAUAAGCACCGGCUAACUUCG